GUGGGGAAUCUUGCGCAAUGGGCGAAAGCCUGACGCAGCCAUGCCGCGUGGAUGAUGAAGGUCUUAGGAUUGUAAAAUCCUUUCACCGGUGAAGAUAAUGACUGUAGCCGGAGAAGAAGCCCCGGCUAACUUCGUGCCAGCAGCCGCGGUAAUACGAAGGGGGCUUGCGUUGCUCGGAUUUACUGGGCGUAAAGGGCGCGUAGGCGGACAUUUAAGUCAGGGGUGAAAUCCCGGGGCUCAACCUCGGAACUGCCUUUGAUACUGGGUGUCUUGAGUAUGAGAGAGGUGUGUGGAACUCCGAGUGUAGAGGUGAAAUUCGUAGAUAUUCGGAAGAACACCAGUGGCGAAGGCGACACACUGGCUCAUUACUGACGCUGAGGCGCGAAAGCGUGGGGAGCAAACAGGAUUAGAUACCCCUGUAGUC
rnacentral:rRNA from 1 species